AAAAAUACAAAGAAAAAAUACAAAGAAAAAAAAUCAGAGGAGAACUCAGAAAUCAAAAGAAACAAAGCAAGAGUUGAAUUGAUCUACACUCUGUUAUCAAAGCUGCGGAAUUUUUGUUUUAAAGAAACUUCUUACGUGCCAAACAUACACGGAUAAAGAAGGUAUCAGGCAGCAGCAGUUGUUGGCAUUUAUCCCAAGACAUCACAAGCACUACAUUUUACCGAAUUCUGUCAGCAAGAAAGUACAUUUUAGUCCCCAAUUACAGAUAGAUCCUAGGCAAAAUUAUCUCCAUGCUAAAUCUUGUCUUCAGCCUUCAGGUAUAGUGUUUCUUAGCAAGUAGGAACUCUUCUAUGUUAGUUGUUUUCUGCAUUGUUGUGAUAUAAUUUCUUAAAGGAAGAAGGUAAA